rnacentral:lncRNA from 1 species
GUCUCCAAUUUAGGAUUUAACAUAAAACAUCCAUCACAUUAAUUUCCAAAUUGUUUUUGUUACAGAUUCAACUUAAACAGAUGAUGUUUCAGUCGUAGCAGGUGCAGUUAGGCAGCCAAACAUGUUGAACUGAUUGUUGUGAUGAGACAGUUUAUUGCUUUGGGAAAUCUAAUAAUAUUGUUUAUAGAUUUAGAUAAUAAAAUUCUGUAAUGUUCAUAAUAUCAUAUGAUAAUUUGUUAAGUGCCCUCAAUAUGUCUUCAACGAAAUAUUAACAUGCACAAUUGAGGAUGCACUGUAAAAAAAUCUUCAAUAUUCUUAUUUUUAAAAGUAGGUUCUGAUUGUCAAUUUUAUAAGAUAUGUACAUAUUUACCUGAAUUUAUUUUUAAGGUAAUUGGAACAAUAUGACUAUUAAGAUUGUUUGAAAUUCAUGUUGAGUUUCAAUCAUUUCUGUUCAAAAUAUAUAUAUCACAUUCUUCUGGUUUGCCAGCAACUUCAAUUUUUGAAAUUAGAAAAUGAUGUAUAGCCAAAAGAUCAGUUGAACAAUGGUGUUGGUUGCAGUUAAUACCACCUCUUUAUAGGAUCUUAAAAUGCCUAAAAUGGAAACAAUGUUUAAAUUUAACAAGUUACCAUAUCUACUGAUGAAGAAAUUAAAAUAUUGUGUAUGUUCCUUUUUUUGUACAAAUGGAUAUCUUUUGAGUAAUCGAUUGGAACACCCAAACAAUAACUUAAUCAUUUGUUUUUUUUCUUGUAUAUCCAUCAUUGUUUUUGUAAGAUAAAAACAAAAAGAAAGUAAUUUUGUUAAAAUUAUUUCUAAUUUUUAUCAACACAAUUAAAAUUCUAUUAAACUAAUAGUUUAGUUCAUGCUCCUUUAAUCUAUAUCUUAAAAGUUUUGUGGUGGGCUAAGCAAAUAUCAAAUAAUCAUUUCAGAAAUACACUUGAUUGCAGCGCUGCAUCUUCACUAACAUUUAACAUAGUUGGUUCUGAGUUACUGAGGUAGUUCCUAUUGGUGUGUUUCUUGUUUUUUCUAUGGAGGAAUCAGUAGUUUCUAUGUCUUCAGGAUAUGGUUUUGUCAUUCAAAGGGAACUCGCAAUCUCGCAAUGUAAUUCUGAAAUGAUAUAUAUUUGAUAUUUUAUUUUCAUUGAAAAAGAAACAAUAUUAAAUUUAUUGCAUGAACAUUUGAACUAUUUAAACUUUUUAAUUCAUAAUUUUUGGAAAUGGAAAAUUCAUAUUGUAACUGACAUAUUUUGGAAAUAGAAUUCAAAUUGUAACUGACACAUUUUGAAAAUUGAAUUCAAAUUGUAACUGACACAUUUUGGAAAUUAAAUUCAAAUUGUAACUGACACAUUUUGGAAAUUGAAUUCAAAUUGUAACUGACACAUUUUGGAAAUAGAAUUCAAAUUGUAUUGUAACUGACACAUUUUGGAAAUAGAAUUCAAAUUGUAACUGACACAUUUUGGAAAUAGAAUUCAAAUUGUAACUGACACAUUUUGGAAAUAAAAUUCAAAUUGCAACUGACACAUUUUGAUGGAUGGAAUUUUAAAAAUAAGAACAUUUAUGUACUUA